GACGAACCGAGCGAACGUUAUUCGGAAUCACUGGGCUUAAAGGGCGCGUAGGCGGGCCGUCAAGUCGAGGGUGAAAUCCCCCAGCUCAACUGGGGAAGUGCCUCCGAUACUGGCGGCCUCGAGGGGGAUAGGGGCAUGCGGAACUUCCGGUGGAGCGGUGAAAUGCGUAGAUAUCGGAAGGAACACCGGUGGCGAAAGCGGCGUGCUGGAUCCCUUCUGACGCUGAGGAGCGAAAGCCAGGGGAGCAAACGGG
rnacentral:rRNA from 1 species